AUCCUGGCUUCCAGAGCACAUAUACUAAAAUUGGAACCAUACUGAGAAGAUUAUCAUGGCCCCUGGGCAAGGAUGACAUGCAAAUUUGUUUUU
rnacentral:snRNA from 1 species